UUUUGUAACUUCGCUAUUGGUAUUCCACAUCAUAACAUCAUGGACAAAAGAGAAGAACUACGUAUCCCAGAGGACCUCACGGUCAGAGAAGGAAGACACAUCACGGAAGAUACGUCAUCUGGUUGCGCGCGGUGCUUCUUCACUUUCGCUUGCUGCCGGGAGAGGAGUGGGUGUGCUUUCCAAGCCGGGCGCCUUCAUCAAGGUUUUCAAGGGAUACUGAUGCACACGAAACAUGAGGGAACGGGGUGCGUUUGGAUCUGAGAGACAGGAUGUCUCAGGAGCAGAAGCAAGCAACUACACAUUCAGGGCAGCAUGGAUGUUUAUACGUUUUAUUUGACAUAUGCACACAGGCAUACACUUAGAUAACUCUAGUGAGUGGCAAGCAGAAACUCCCUAAGCAAGUGCAAUAUGAACCCUAGUAAGUUAAACCAGAAGCACCCUUAAGAAAGCACAACAUUAUUUACCAACCCUUGAGAGAUGGACAAAACUCCAAGUAGGAGAAGCAACAGCCAGUGCUAGAUUCGGGUUUUUUCUGCUUGUAUGCUGCAUCUGCAUGGCCGGGGCAUGAUGCAGAGCCCAAGUGGAACACCUGCCUGCUAGCAAGCUCAACCAUCUGCAAAACAAGAUAACUGGCAAGGUCAACUCCCUACCAAAACAAGACAAACAGCUCUAGCUACAAGUACUGCUUUCCUUAAAACUGUCAUAUGGCCCAUGGUUCUAGUCAUGUAGCCAUCCAAUUAUGUUCCCAGAAUCCCUUGUUCCAAUGCAGGAUCAUUCUUUGGUCAGAACUUUAAG
ensembl:lncRNA